CCUACGGGGGGCUGCAGUAGGGAAUAUUGCUCAAUGGGGGAAACUCUGAAGCAGCAACGCCGCGUGGAGGAUGACGGUUUUCGGAUUGUAAACCCCUUUUGUUAGAGAAGAUAAUGACGGUAUGUAACGAAUAAGCACCGGACAACUCCGUUCCAGCAGCGGCGGUACUACGGAGGGUGCAAGCGUUACUCGGAAUCACUGGGCGUAAAGAGCGCGUAGGCGGGAUAGCAAGUCAGAUGUGAAAUCCUAUGGCUUAACCAUAGAACUGCAUUUGAAACUGUUAUUCUAGAGUAUGGGAGAGGUAGGUGGAAUUCUUGGUGUAGGGGUAAAAUGCGUAGAGAUCAAGAGGAAUACUCAUUGCGAAGGCGACCUGCUAGAACAUAACUGACGCUGAUGCGCGAAGGCGUGGGGAGCAAACAGGAUUAGAUACCCUAGUAGUC
rnacentral:rRNA from 1 species